UAACGCGUGGAUAACCUGCCUCACACAGGGGGAUAACAGUUAGAAAUGACUGCUAAUACCGCAUAAGCGCACGGCAUCGCAUGAUGCAGUGUGAAAAACUCCGGUGGUGUGAGAUGGAUCCGCGUCUGAUUAGGUAGUUGGUGGGGUAACGGCCCACCAAGCCGACGAUCAGUAGCCGACCUGAGAGGGUGACCGGCCACAUUGGACUGAGACACGGCCAA
rnacentral:rRNA from 1 species